GCUAAUGCCUUUUAUGUGCAAUUUCCGGUCUAUUAUCUGCCUUCCCCAGCGGGCUGCAUCAGCAAGUUGGGGAACGCAGGCUGAACAGUGAGCACAGUCUGUAGAACCCACAGUUGGUGCUUGAUAGACAGUUGCUAAACGAGUGAACGCAUGAAUGCAUGAAUUCAAAUCAGGACUGUCUCAGGAAGUCCACAUGCCUGCCCGAUGACGUCUGCCAUCAGACGCGUCUUGCUGAAACGCACAUAUCCUGCUCGACAGCGGAGGCUGUCACUCAUCGGAGGGGGCACGCAUCACCCAGAUCAGAGAACACUUCCAUCUGUCCCUGAGGAGUCCUGUUCUCUGCAGAAGCCACCGUGUGCUCCGGGAAUCCAGACGUUCUCACAGCACUGAUCUUCCCAGACAGGAACUGAAAACAAAAGAGUCAAAUCUAUGCAUUUUCCCAUGUGUUAUUUUUAUUUUAAAGAUGCACAAUAUGAUUAAAAAAGAAAAAAGAAGAAAAGGUCUAUUCCUCCUCCGGAAUUCUACUUCCAAAGAGACAGCAACCAUUCUCAUCUGGAGUGUGCUUCGUGAAUCCCCUGGAGCGUGUCCUAAAAUGCUGGGAGCUGAGCCCCACCCACAGUUUCCGAUGCAGGAGGUCGAGGUGGGGCCCAGGAAGCUGCCUUUCUAGCCUGUUCCCAGGGGCUGCUGAUGCUGCCGGUCCGGGCGCCAGGAGGAUCGGUGAGCCCGAGGACUCUGCCGGGCUGAUGGGGAGGCAGCAGCCCUGCUGACUUGCUGUGUGGCCUAGAGGAAAUCACUGUCCACUCUGAGCCUCAGGUUCCCUGCGGGUAAAGAGAGAACCCCUAGAACGUGGUUCAGCGACGCCCAGCACCAGACUUUGCAUCGGCACGUCCCAGCCAGUGCUGGGCAGCAGAGGGCAGCAGAGACUGGGAAAUGGGGUUUAGUCCGGCUGUUUAACCACGCCACUGAACUGCAUAUUCACUGAACUGUCUUCUGUUUGAACGACAUCUCUCUGGCAACUCAGCGCUCCAAAAACCAUCAGCCAAAAGAACAGGAAAUCUCCUAAUCCAUGUGCACUCUCUUUCGUGACUAGGAGAAGUGAACUGAUGCCUUACGUGGACGUUUAUUAGAGUCAGAUACUUCUGAAUCUCCUUUAUGGCCCUUCUGCACACAGGGAAACUGAGGCCUGGAGAGGGAAGAAAUGGCCAUGGUCACACGUUGGCGGCAGGCUUAGGAUAAUGCACAGGCCUAUCGCUCUAUCCUGUUUUGUUCUCUGCCGGUGCCAGCCCUGACAUCAGCCCGCAAGCUUGCCACGCUGGUUCAGACCCGACCCCAAAGGCCGCCCCUGACCCGGCCCUGGCUCGCCGACCGACCACCCCCAGAACGCCGGCUGUGGUGCUGCUGCUGGAGGGGGCGCCGGUGGAUGAGACCUGAGGUGUCCCAGACCCGCUAGCCUGGGGGCCUGGGGAAUCCAGCUUGACCGAAAGAGAGAACUCGUGCAGUGGGGAUUGCUACUUUCAGAAGGAAACUGGAGAAGGUCGUGAACAUUCACCCCAGUCCUUUUUAUCCAGCGAGAUUCACGCCUGGAAAACUGCUGUCUGGUCAGAAAGACUUUGCUGAGAAGAGCCAAGAGCUGAAACCCAGCCGAGGUGUUUCAGGAAAGAGGAGGACCACACAUCCCCAUUCAUUGACAUGUGACCACAGAGGAUCCCUCCCUGCCACUUCCAGGCUUGGCCAUGUGACCUGCCUUGGCUGGUGGAAUAUGAAUGGAUACGACAGAAGCCAUGUCUCUGCAACUUUGAGAGCAGUUACAUGGCUUGGUUCUGCCUCUUGUUCUUUUCCCUUUGCCAAGAGAACACAAUGUCUUGACUGUGGGCUGCUCCUUCAGCACAUGUCCCAGAACGAGAAGGAGCAUGGAGCAGAGCCACAGUGGCCACCAUGCAGCUCUCAACACGAGCAAGAUUGAAGCUGAUUUUUGUUACUGCAGCACAACUUAGCAAGCUCUGACAAAUACAGAAGGCUCUACUGGACAUCUCGGGGUAUAUCUAUCCAGCUUUCCUUCCUCCCAAAUGGAGACCACAAUGCUGCCACCUACAAGCUGUGUGAUUUUGAGAAAAAUCACAGAACGUCUUGGCCUCAAAUUUCUACACUAACAGACAGAGCUUUCUCCCAGCUUUCUGACCAGCAAUUCUGAAGAACUAGCCUAUCACUUGACACUUGACCCCUGUCGUUCAUGAGUUAUCUUUGCACGUGGUAGUAUCAUACCAGGGAAGUCCCCCCAAAUUUUGAGUCCAACAGCUAUGUAUUCUUGAGCAAAUUGUUUUAUCUCUCUUAUCUGUAAAAUUUUUCUCCUCUAUUAAAGGAAAAUGCAUCACACAGCAUUGGGGUAUGUCAUCUAGCUCAUAGAAUGUACUCAAUAAAUCGAAGUGCCCUCCCUUUCUCUUACCUUCUUGAUCAGAUUGAGUCCUUUGAGAUACACUUCUUUGAGUCUGACAUGCCCUGAACCUGGGGUUUCCUCAGGGAGGGGGUGACAAAAUCCCUGGAUAAAAACCCACAGAGGUGUAUGCAGAUAUUCAUAGCAGCAUUAUUCAUAAAGGUCC
ensembl:lncRNA